GGCGGCCGUGUUAAUCACAGCCUUCCCUCCUGGCUCACUUCUCUCUAGGGCCCCCUUGAGGUGCUCACUGAGUUUAAUUACUCUCCCCAGGAGGCCUUUCUCCCCUCCCGCAGCCAGAUUGUCACUGAUGGGGGGGGGGGAGGGCAGGAACGCUGUCCCGUGUCCCCAGAGAAUCAGAAAAACAAGAACAGCCACCGCUGAACUGGUUCAGUAAAUCAUUGAUCUGCACGUCAGAAAGUUCCAGACCUACAGCCUAGAUUGAGUGCUUUGUCGCCCAGGUCAGGACUUCUCCCGUUUUGCUGUGCUCAGUGGACUCACUGGGGUGGAAUGGGGUGGGGUGGGGAGGUCCUGUUGAAGGGCAGAGCUGGCAUCGGCAGGUCUGGGGCGGAGGCUGGGGUUCUGCGUUUCUUCCAGGCAUCCAGGGGCUACUGAUGUGGCAGGUCUGGAGACGACGCUCAGCUCCGAGGAGAGUCUAAGGUUCCCAAACUCGCCUGCCCAUUUGAGUCACCAGGGCAACCUCCAAGAACUACUGAUGCCUGGGUCUUAUCAUCAGAUCCUGAUGUGGAUGAAGCCUGAGCGUUAGGAUCCUACAAAGCUUCCAAGGAGAUUCCAGUAGAAGGUCCGAGGCCCAUGGCCUGAGGCUAGAGCGGUGGCUCUCAAACUUCUAGCACCUGGAGAGUUUGUUACAAACAGAUCAUGGGCGGAGCAUGUGGCUCAGUGGGAGACUCCUUGCUUAGCAGGUGCCAGGCUCUGGGUGGGUUCCGCCCCCAGCACGGCAACAAAUAAACCAACCAGGUCCCGGGGCCCCACCCUCCUGAGUUUUUGAUUCAGUAGGUCUGGGUGGGGCCUGGGGAUUGGCAUUUCUCAAAGGGUGUUGCCCAAUCGGCUGGUCUUGGGAUCUCACUUUGUAAACCACAACCUGCAGGCGGAUGGGGAAGAGGAGGGAUCAGAGAGAUAAAAGCAGCCUUGCCAAGGAAGCCGUGGGGUCGUCUCACUUAGGCAAGUACUUAGACUAUAAAUUAGACGGCAAAGCCAAGCCAGACAAAGGAAGACAAGGGAUCGAUUUUAUUUUUCCUCUCCCAAAUACCACAUCCAACAUUGACCUUGCAAAUGACUCUGAAACUGACCUUGAACCUACGUUCAUCCAGUAUGAUUUUCGGGCCACCACGGUGAACAGAACGGACAGUGCCUGCCGUCACAGAGCUUCAGAGUUGGUGCAAGAAAGAGAAGCCACGAGUAAAGGUCCUACCCCGAGCUGCACAUUGAGAUGCGUCCCCAAAUCGGGGGACUCCUCCGGAAUUGUCCUUCACUUGCCCUCUCCUUUGCCCUUUGACCCUGACUGAAUCCUUCUCUUUUGUUUUGUUUUGUGUUCUGGUCCUGGGGGUUGAACCCAGGGCUGCUCUACCACGGAGGUACAUUCCCAACCCUUUUGAUUCUGUUUUGAGACAGGGUCUCCCUAAGUUUCCCAGGCUGACCUUGAACUGACCACCUUCCUGCCUCGCACCCCCCGGAAUGGCUGAGAUCACAGGGGCACAGCACCACGCCUGGCUUUAUACCCCUUCCCUUUUGUCUGGAAUUAUAAAUUCGGCCUCAGUGAUUCUGAAUCAUCUUUGGAUUUACAGAACCGGGAACAUCUGAUGACCUUUGUAACACCCCCCCCUUUAGUCUUUAGUACUAAGACAGAGCCACCUCAAAGAACUACAGGAGCUAGCUGGGGGAGGACCACGGCGGUACGCCAGUGUCCUGGUCAGAGGAGAAAGGAGACACAGAGCCCUGUACCAGAAGAGCCUGCUCAUCACACGCCCAUCCUGACCCCUUUCCAGCCCUUUGCACCAGAGACCCCCAAGAUGGAACUUGGAGAUUGUGCCCCUCCAUCUUCUCAAGAUUGCUUGGCCUUGAAUAAACCUGGCUCCUCAGCUGCUGGAUACUGGCUUGUGAGCCGUGGACAGGCCAGACCUUCACCCGGUAACAUGAGAGAAAAAUAACAGAGGUUUGGAGUGACUCUGUGACCUCUGGACGGAGAUAGGACAGCCGCAGUGCCAUUUGUCAAGACUAAGGAACCACGUGGAGCCCACCUGCCCGAGAGCGAGCUGACACUCCCACAGAAGGUGCUAGAUGGACCUUCCCUCAGUGGCACCAAGCAAGAGAUGGUGCGCAUCUGGAUCAGAGAAGACUCUGCUUUUCCUGCUGAUUCCAAAGCUAACCUCUUCUGGAAGAACCUCACAGACACACCCAGAGUGAUGUUUCACUGGAUACGUGGACGUCCCGGGGCCCAGGCGAGUGGGCACAAAAUGAACCAUCCACGAGGGUGACAGACACAGGAGGUGCGGGAGGUGGUGGGGCUGUUGUGGUUUGUACCCGGUCAACCUGGUCAGGUUGGAAGUGUUUCCCAGAAUCCUCUUCCCCACUGUACUUGACUCGAGAAAAGAUAGGUGUGAGUGACGCAGAGAAGCCUGCGGGUUCUGCUUUGCCCUCGCCCUCCUCUGCUCUGCGUCCAACUCAGCUGAUGACCAGCAGCAGCCCCAGACGCUUGCUGGCAGCCCUGGAGCUUUCCCUUGGUUGUCCUGCUUUGGUGGCUGAAUGUGCUCGUCUGUCCAGAUGGACUGGCCAGAGCCUCCUCUGAUCCCGCAGCUUCCUGCCUGGACUGUCCCUUCCCCACUGACUCCUUCAACUCCGAAUUCACAGUCACGCAUCUCUUAAUAAGGAGGAUACAUUCUGAGACAUGCAUAAUUAGCAACAUGAUCUCCAGGGAUUAAAUAUUAUUGGGGGGGGUGCAUGGCUGUAGUGUGUGUGCGCGCGUGCGCGGUGCUGGGGAUUAAACCCAGGGCCUCCCACAUGCUAAGCAAGGACUCUAUCACUGAUCUACAUCCCCAGACCUUUUUUAAGUUCCAUUUUGAGACAGGGUCUUGCUAAAUUACCCAGACUGGUCUUGAACUUGGGACUCUCUUGCUUCAGCCGCCCAGCUGCACACCUAUCUUCUAAUUCCUAGAUUAAGUUCCUUAUCCUAGAACUCCCUCUGGACCCCGGCACCAUGCCAGCACCUUCCCCAAGAGACCAGCAUGAUCAGUCAGCUUCUGUUCCCCAGACUAUGAGCAACCAGAAGGUGGGGAUCAAACACGCGGACGUAGCUGGGCACGGUGGCGCACGCCUGUAAUCCCAGCAACGCAGGAGGACUGAGUGGGAGAAUCAUGAGAUCGAGACUAGUGUGGUCAACUUAGCAAGACCCCGUCUCAAAAAUUUAAAAAGUAAAAAAUUAACAAAGGGGGAAGGUAGCUCAAUGGGAGAGCUCUUGCCAGGCAUGUGGGAGGCCCUGAGUUUGGUCCCCAGCACUGAAAAAAGACAAGACAAGAAACACAACAUGCAAAGUGCAUUGCUCCGCAUCUCAAGGAGUUGGUCAAGAAGUACAAUUCCCGCCGGGCGCCGUGGCGCACGCCUGUAAUGCCAGCUGCUUGGGAGGCUGAGGCAGGAGGAUCGAGAGUUCAAAGCCAGCCUCAGCCAAAGCGAGGCGCUAAGCAACUCAAUGAGACUCUGUCUCUAAAUCAAAUAUGAAAUAGGGCUGGGGGUGUGGCCCAGUGGUUGAGUGCCCCUGAGGUCAAUCCCUGGCAUCACCCCCCCUCAAAAAAGAACAACUCCCCUGGCACUGCUUCGUGGGAGGAACUUUGGUAGCGACACAUGAAACCAAACACUUCCUCUGCGUCUACCUGGGCCAGGUGGCCAUUCUUCCUUCAAAUCUGGUUCAAAGCACCAAGUGCGCCACUGUCCAAUGCUCCACCCAAAGACAAGGACGGCAGCCUGCAUUCCAAAGGCCGGACUGAAAUCUUCAGUCACACCAAGGGAACACCUGUCUCUACCUUUGAACUUCACUGUGUUUUGUACGGGACAUUCUGCAGGCGGAUCUGUUGUGGUUUUUCAGCGAAGAGCAAACCAGCCGACAUUUGUGUCUAUUUUCUGUCUCAUACUUCUCUGCCCUGUUCUGCACGCUCAAUCUAUCCCUUUAAAAAAUAAACCUGGGCCAGGGGCUGUAGCUCAGCGGUGCAGUGCUUGCCCAGCAUGAUGCGCAAGGCCCUGGAUUUAAUCUCCCAAACCAAAAAACAUCUGUUGAAGAUGGAGGAAAGAAAAAAAAAAAAAAAAAAAACCAGCAAUCUCUUUUCCUGUAGCCCACGGCAUUUCUGCAUUGAACCCUGACUGACAGAUACCAGGGGACCAAGCCACACAGGCCAAGGUGAAGGCCAAGGGAAGCAAUGCAAGGGCUCUGAGUCAGGCCACUGGCAUGUGGCUCCCCUCCCCACAGUCAGGGUUCAAGGCCUCGCGGGUUCUAAACAGAACUGGGCACUGUGAAAAAGAACCUGCCGCGGGACCGUCUCCCUAGUGUCCCUGGUGCUGCUGCCUCCCUGGCAAUUGCUAUUUGACUCCUUGGAAGCAGAGGCGUCACCUGCGUCUACCAAGCAGAAGGAUUACCGAGCGGAGGGGAGUCUUAGGUCCUCGGUGGCACAUUUACACCACGGCUUUGGGGCCGGCACGGGAACAGGUUAGGGAGUUCACCUGAGCCUGAGAGCAGCUCUGAUCUGCCCUCGGUCAGACCACUGGGGAGAGGAGUGCGUGCCAUCCCCUGAAGGAGGAGCCACCUCAGAGUCCCCCCGGGAGCUUAAGAACAGAUGCCUGAAGCUGGUGUGGUGGCAACACCUGCGGCCAGCUGCUCAGGAGGCUAAGGCAGGAGGAUGGCAAAGUCAAGGCCACCCUAGGCAACUUACUCAGACACUGGUCGGUGGU